rnacentral:lncRNA from 1 species
UUCCAAACUACCUCCAUUUCUUCAUUUAUCAACUAAACAAAAUCUCUUUCCUUCUUACAUUUAAAGGUCUUCUACCUUUAAAUUGUUCUCCUACACCUGGUAUCAGAGCCAUUGGUUCGUUAGGAGGGUGAUUCAUUAACUAUGGCAGGAAAGAAUAUCGUGUGCAUGGUUCCCAAAUUGACGGGGAAACAAAAUUACAAUUUUUGGAGGAUUCAGAUGGAGAAACAUCUGAAGGCGUAUAAUUUGUUAAAAUAUACGCGAGAAGAACUGGAAGAAGGUGCCGAAGAGAAUGAAAUAAGGCGUGAUAGUAUGGCCUUGUCCCAAAUACACCAGGCC